UACGUAGGGUGCAAGCGUUGCCCGGAUUUAUUGGGCGUAAAGGGCGCGUAGGCGGCUCGGCACGUCCGUUGUGAAAUCGCCCGGCUCAACUGGGCGGGGUCAGCGGAUACGGUCGAGCUUGAGCAAGCUAGGGGGCAAUGGAAUUCCCGGUGUAGAGGUGAAAUUCGUAGAUAUCGGGAGGAACACCAGUGGCGAAGGCGGCGAUCUGGGAAGAUACUGACGCUGAGGUGCGAAAGCGUGGGGAGCAAACAGGG
rnacentral:rRNA from 1 species